UACGAACUGUGCGAACGUUAUUCGGAACCACUGGGCUUACAGGGUGCGUAGGCGGCUUGUUAAGUAGGGUGUGAAAGCCCCCGGCUCAACCGGGGAAUUGCGCCCUAAACUGGCGAGCUGGAGUGAGAUAGGGGUGUGUGGAACUUCCGGUGGAGCGGUGAAAUGUGUUGAUAUCGGAAGGAACGCCGGUGGCGAAAGCGACACACUGGAUCUUGUCUGACGCUGAGGCACGAAAGCCAGGGGAGCGAGCGGG
rnacentral:rRNA from 1 species